CCUACGGGAGGCAGCAGUGGGGAAUAUUGCACAAUGGGGGGAACCCUGAUGCAGCGACGCCGCGUGGGUGAAGGAGUAUUUCGGUAUGUAAAGCCCUAUCAGCAGGGAAGAACAAUGCCGUUCCCGGACUAAGAACCACCGGCUAAAUACGGCCCAGCAGCCGCGGUAAUACGUAGGGUGCAAGCGUUAGCCGGAUUUACUGGGUGUAAGGGGGGCGCAGGCGGCGCGUUAAGCCUGGUGUGAAAGCCCGCGGCCCAACCGCGGGACUGCAUUGGAAACUGGCGCGCUGGAGUGCAGGAGGGGUAGGUGGAAUUCCUAGUGUAGCGGUGAAAUGCGUAGAUAUUAGGAGGAACACCAGUGGCGAAGGCGGCUUACUGGACGGUGACUGACGCUGAGGCUCGAAAGCGUGGGGAGCAAACAGGAUUAGAUACCCGGGUAGUC
rnacentral:rRNA from 1 species